GUCUCAGUAGCUCAGUUGGAUAGAGCGACCGCCUCCUAAGCGGUAGGUCGGAGGUUCGAAUCCCCUCUGGGACG
rnacentral:tRNA from 1 species